rnacentral:lncRNA from 1 species
AGAACAGAAGUAAAUACCAGAUGAAGUUCCUGAAAUACUGUAACGGAGUCGGAGUCAUUCAAGCUCUGCAGGAGAUAUCGUAUCUGACCGGAAACUCGGGAGGAGAACGGAAUCAUUGUGAAAAUUAUUUCACUUUCCGUUUUUCAGUGAAUUGAGAGAAUGCUAGGGUUUUUGAGACGCAGGAAUUUAGAUGAAAUAAGGUUUGAUCAGAGCCCAAAGAAAACAGAAUACUGUGAUGGUCGAGAAAGAGUGAGCUAUUUAUGUGAUUGCGUGAAUCGGAGUGAGUCACGCAGCUCGCGCCGACGAGAAUCAUGUUAUUGGCUCUCCUUUCUAU